CCUGUACCAAGUCAGGAAUAUGACAGUUCUUGUCCAUUCGUUUUUGAUGCGUUUUGUUGUUUGAUUUUGCCAUGUGAUUAUGGACUUUCCGAAUUGAUUUUCAGUAUUUUUUGUGAUUUUACUUUUUAUCAACCAACAGGAAUCUUAACGUAACAUUCAAAACUGUUCAAGGUCAAAUUCGUUUAGGAACUGGUCUAUAACAGUCGGUAACAGUUGUGUGACAGAUUCUCAUUUAUUGUGUUGAAGAGAGGUUGUAAUUGAUUCCAAAUGUACGGUCGUAACUAUCGGAGAAGUAUCUAUACCAGAUAAAAAAAAAAACUCGAAUUGCUAGACAAGUUUUAAUUCAAUUUAAUCAACUACACUUGAAUUAGAUUUAUCUACAAAAACCAAGUUAUCAAUAACUAAAUCUAAUUGAUAACUAACCCUG
rnacentral:lncRNA from 1 species